UACGUAGGGUGCAAGCGUUGUCCGGAAUUAUUGGGCGUAAAGAGCUCGUAGGCGGUUUGUCGCGUCUGCUGUGAAAAUCCAGGGCUUAACCCUGGACCUGCAGUGGGUACGGGCAGGCUAGAGUUCGGUAGGGGAGAUCGGAAUUCCUGGUGUAGCGGUGAAAUGCGCAGAUAUCAGGAGGAACACCGGCGGCGAAGGCGGGUCUCUGGGCCGAUACUGACGCUGAGGAGCGAAAGCGUGGGGAGCGAACAGG
rnacentral:rRNA from 1 species